GUGCGAGACCGAUAGCGAACAAGUACCGUGAGGGAAAGAUGAAAAGAACUUUGAAAAGAGAGUUAAAGAGUACCUGAAACUGCUGAAAGGGAACCGAAUCGUUUCCAGUGUCUAUAAUCCAUGGUAUAUUUCAUUGGUGUGUAAGUGCGUGCAGCGUUUUGGAAGUAGUUUUCUGCUCCUGUCGUUGUUGUGCAUUUGCCUGCUGGUGCCCUGUGCUGUGGUGGGACGUCAGAGUCAGUUCGUGUGUUGCGGGAAAUGGUUAUUGGGGAGGUUGGUCACUUCGGUGGCUGUUAUAUCCUGAUAACUAGUCGUCGUGGCUGGGACUGAGGUGCCUACAACGUGCUUUUGAGUCUGCGGGCUUCUCGUGUUGCUGUUUGCUUGGAUAGCUUGCUAUGUUUGUAAAUAAGUCGUGCGAUUGAGACCUGUAGUAACUUGUUGCUGUUCGGGACUUUGA
rnacentral:rRNA from 2 species